GACUCGGUGGCGGAAGGUCCGCGUCUGCUUAUUGUAAUGAUGAUGAAAAGUGUGCACGCAAAAUGUGCCGGUUCGAAUCCGGCUCGAGUCA